AUCACUUUUCAGCCUAUGGGCUAAGAUCAAGCGUAGUAUCUGUUCUCAGAGUUUAAAAUAAACACAAUCCCUAAAUGAAGGCGGUUUAGGCAUCUUGGAAAGGAUCUUCUCUCUUAUCUAUGUCUUCGGCACAGGCAACCUUGC
rnacentral:snRNA from 1 species